UACGAAGGGGGCUAGCGUUGCUCGGAAUCACUGGGCGUAAAGGGUGCGUAGGCGGGUCUUUAAGUCAGGGGUGAAAUCCUGGAGCUCAACUCCAGAACUGCCUUUGAUACUGAGGAUCUUGAGUUCGGGAGAGGUGAGUGGAACUGCGAGUGUAGAGGUGAAAUUCGUAGAUAUUCGCAAGAACACCAGUGGCGAAGGCGGCUCACUGGCCCGAUACUGACGCUGAGGCACGAAAGCGUGGGGAGCGAACGAG
rnacentral:rRNA from 1 species